AGAGGUUCUCGGCCUUUUGGCUAAGAUCAAGUGUAGUAUCUGUUCUUAUCAGUUUAAUAAAAACAAGAAGAGCAGGAGCUGUGUUUGAGAAGUAAGGGCCAUAAAUGGCACCGGAGGUUCAGAGCUNNN
rnacentral:snRNA from 1 species